rnacentral:rRNA from 1 species
CCUACGGGGGGCAGCAGUGAGGAAUAUUGGUCAAUGGGCGCGAGCCUGAACCAGCCAAGUAGCGUGAAGGAUGACUGCCCUACGGGUUGUAAACCUCUUUUAUAAAGGAAUAAAACGAGGCACGUGUGCCUUUUUGCAUGUACUCUAUGAAUAAGGAUCGGCUAACUCCGUGCCAGCAGCCGCGGUAAUACGGAGGAUGCGAGCGUUAUCCGGAUUUAUUGGGUUUAAAGGGAGCGUAGGUGGGUUGUUAAGUCAGUUGUGAAAGUUUGGGGCUCAACCGUAAAAUUGCAAUUGAUACUGGCAGUCUUGAGUACAGUAGAGGUAGGCGGAAUUCGUGGUGUAGCGGUGAAAUGCUUAGAUAUCACGAAGAACCCCGAUUGCGAAGGCAGCUUACUAGACUGUAACUGACAUUGAUGCUCGAAAGUGUGGGUAUCGAACAGGAUUAGAUACCCCAGUAGUC